GACGAACGCUGGCGGCGUGCUUAACACAUGCAAGUCGAACGGAAAGGCCCUGCUUGCAGGGUGCUCGAGUGGCGAACGGGUGAGUAACACGUGGGUGAUCUGCCCCUUACUUUGGGAUAAGCCUGGGAAACUGGGUCUAAUACUGGAUAGGCCAUGCUGUAGGUGGUGUGGUGGAAAGAUUAGUUUCGGUAAGGGAUGAGCUCGCGGCCUAUCAGCUUGUUGGUGGGGUAAUGGCCUACCAAGGCGUCGACGGGUAGCCGGCCUGAGAGGGUGGACGGCCACAUUGGGACUGAGAUACGGCCCAGACUCCUACGGGAGGCAGCAGAGGGGAAUAUUGCACAAUGGGCGCAAGCCUGAUGCAGCGACGCCGCGUGGGGGAUGACGGCCUUCGGGUUGUAAACUCCUUUCAGCCAUGACGAAGCCCUUGUGGUGACGGUAGUGGUAGAAGAAGCACCGGCUAACUACGUG
rnacentral:rRNA from 1 species